UACGUAGGGGGCUAGCGUUGUCCGGAUUUAUUGGGCGUAAAGAGCGUGUAGGCGGCCAGGUAGGUCUGGUGUGAAAACUCGAGGCUUAACCUCGAGAUGUCAUCGGAAACCAUUUGGCUAGAGUCCGGAAGAGGAGAGUGGAAUUCCUGGUGUAGCGGUGAAAUGCGCAGAUAUCAGGAAGAACACCAAUGGCGAAAGCAGCUCUCUGGACGGUACUGACGCUGAGACGCGAAAGCGUGGGGAGCGAACAGG
rnacentral:rRNA from 1 species